rnacentral:rRNA from 1 species
UGGGGAAUCUUGCGCAAUGGGCGAAAGCCUGACGCAGCCAUGCCGCGUGGAUGAUGAAGGUCUUAGGAUUGUAAAAUCCUUUCAGCGGGGACGAUAAUGACGGUACCCGCAGAAGAAGCCCCGGCUAACUUCGUGCCAGCAGCCACGGUAAUACGAAGGGGGCUAGCGUUGCUCGGAAUUACUGGGCGUAAAGGGCGCGUAGGCGGAUAGUUUAGUUGGGGGUGAAAGCCCGGGGCUCAACCUCGGAACUGCCUUCAAUACUGGCUAUCUUGAGUACGGGAGAGGUGUGUGGAACUCCGAGUGUAGAGGUGAAAUUCGUAGAUAUUCGGAAGAACACCAGUGGCGAAGGCGACACACUGGCCCGUUACUGACGCUGAGGCGCGAAAGCGUGGGGAGCAAACAGGAUUAGAUACCCUGGUAGUCCACGCCGUAAACGAUGAGUGCUAGUUGUCGGGCGGCAUGCCGUUCGGUGACGCAGCUAACGCAUUAAGCACUCCGCCUGGGGAG